rnacentral:rRNA from 1 species
AACGCUGGCGGCGUGCCUAAUACAUGCAAGUCGAGCGAACAGACGAGGAGCUUGCUCCUCUGACGUUAGCGGCGGACGGGUGAGUAACACGUGGAUAACCUACCUAUAAGACUGGGAUAACUUCGGGAAACCGGAGCUAAUACCGGAUAAUAUAUUGAACCGCAUGGUUCAAUAGUGAAAGACGGUUUUGCUGUCACUUAUAGAUGGAUCCGCGCCGCAUUAGCUAGUUGGUAAGGUAACGGCUUACCAAGGCAACGAUGCGUAGCCGACCUGAGAGGGUGAUCGGCCACACUGGAACUGAGACACGGUCCAGACUCCUACGGGAGGCAGCAGUAGGGAAUCUUCCGCAAUGGGCGAAAGCCUGACGGAGCAACGCCGCGUGAGUGAUGAAGGUCUUCGGAUCGUAAAACUCUGUUAUUAGGGAAGAACAAAUGUGUAAGUAACUAUGCACGUCUUGACGGUACCUAAUCAGAAAGCCACGGCUAACUACGUGCCAGCAGCCGCGGUAAUACGUAGGUGGCAAGCGUUAUCCGGAAUUAUUGGGCGUAAAGCGCGCGUAGGCGGUUUUUUAAGUCUGAUGUGAAAGCCCACGGCUCAACCGUGGAGGGUCAUUGGAAACUGGAAAACUUGAGUGCAGAAGAGGAAAGUGGAAUUCCAUGUGUAGCGGUGAAAUGCGCAGAGAUAUGGAGGAACACCAGUGGCGAAGGCGACUUUCUGGUCUGUA